rnacentral:rRNA from 1 species
UACGAAGGGGGCGAGCGUUGUUCGGAAUUACUGGGCGUAAAGGGCGCGCAGGCGGUCCUUCAAGUCAGAUGUGAAAGCCCGGGGCUCAACUCCGGAACUGCCUUUAAGACUGCAUCGCUUGAAUCCAGGAGAGGUGAGUGGAAUUCCGAGUGUAGAGGUGAAAUUCGUAGAUAUUCGGAAGAACACCAGUGGCGAAGGCGGCUCACUGGACUGGUAUUGACGCUGAGGUGCGAAAGCGUGGGGAGCAAACAGG